CGUGGAAAGCGGACUCCGAGGUCUCUGGGCCAGUGGCCCGCAGGCUCUCGGUGUGCGGUGUUUGCGGUGUUUCGGCAUCUCAGGGUCUGGGCGACACCCUGCUUCACUUCCUCCUCGCUGCGCACUGACUUCUUUGUUCACCAACGGAUCACAAGUACUCCUCCAAACCUGGCCCUUGUGGAGCACAAAAUUGAAUUUAUUCUAAAAGUUCUAUCUUCACCUCAGUGAGCUCACAGUAAAUGCUGGAGGAGUGUGAAGUCAGCAACAAAAAGAGCUUUCUGAGCAGCUGCAAAAUGUUUUUAACUUGAAGUGGAAGUUGGGGUCACUGGCAUCGUCAGGUCCGGACGGUCACUCUCAGCAG